rnacentral:rRNA from 1 species
UACGUAGGGCGCAAGCGUUGUCCGGAAUUACUGGGCGUAAAGCGUGCGCAGGCGGUCUGCUAAGAGAGGUGUGAAAUCCCCGGGCUUAACCUGGGAACUGCGCUUCUAACUGGCAGGCUAGAGUGUGGCAGAGGGGGGUGGAAUUCCACGGUGUAGCAGUGAAAUGCGUAGAGAUGUGGAGGAACACCGAUGGCGAAGGCAGCCCCCUGGGCUAACACUGACGCUCAUGCACGAAAGCGUGGGGAGCAAACGAGG